ACGGGUGAGUAAUGCCUGGGAAAUUGCCCUGAUGUGGGGGAUAACCAUUGGAAACGAUGGCUAAUACCGCAUAAUGCCUUCGGGCCAAAGAGGGGGACCUUCGGGCCUCUCGCGUCAGGAUAUGCCCAGGUGGGAUUAGCUAGUUGGUGAGGUAAUGGCUCACCAAGGCGACGAUCCCUAGCUGGUCUGAGAGGAUGAUCAGCCACACUGGAACUGAGACACGGUCCAGACUCCUACGGGAGGCAGCAGUGGGGAAUAUUGCACAAUGGGCGCAAGCCUGAUGCAGCCAUGCCGCGUGUAUGAAGAAGGCCUUCGGGUUGUAAAGUACUUUCAGUCGUGAGGAAGGUUCAUGCGUUAAUAGCGUAUGGAUUUGACGUUAGCGACAGAAGAAGCACCGGCUAACUCCGUGCCAGCAGCCGCGGUAAUACGGAGGGUGCGAGCGUUAAUCGGAAUUACUGGGCGUAAAGCGCAUGCAGGUGGUUCGUUAAGUCAGAUGUGAA
rnacentral:rRNA from 1 species